GCUGGUGUGGCUCAGUGGAUAGAGCGUCAGCCUGCGGACUGAAGGGUCCUGGGUUCAAUUCCCAGUCAGGGCA
rnacentral:tRNA from 1 species